ACAGGGGUUUACUUUCUUAAUGACAAAGACAAUGAUGAACGUGGGAGGCUGAGACUGAGAGCGUGCCAGACUGUUAGCUAUGGCUAGCUGAGGGAAAUGGCUUGUGUAGUACUGAGAAUUAUGAGGAGCAAAGCAAUACUUGAUUUUUCUUAGGGAAUGUAAAUAUGUUAAGUUGCUGGAAUUGUACCUGGGUGAAAUUUUGAUCAAGAGCGAAUGUGAUAAAUCAUUUAUAAAGUUUUUAGAGUAUCACACAUUGGAACAGAUUUGGUUUCACGUGAAAAUGGAAUGGUUUACAUUUAGUUCUUAGAAAUUUAUUGUAUGUUAAUUAAUUUCAAUGUUAGAAUGAAUGUUGAAAGCCAUAUGAUAGACAAGUAGGAUUCAAAAGGAUGUGCUGUUAAAAACUGCCUGAUAACCAAUUGAGGUACGAAAGGAAUUGUUUCUCAUCAAAUUACUAGUCGAAUGCUGUACACAUCAUCAAUCCUUCUGGAGAAGAGAAUGACCUUUGUUAGGGAUGUGGGUUGGUAAAUUGUCCCACAUUGAUGACACAUCACCACAAAACCAAGAAAAAAAUUGUAUCAGGAAACGAUCAUUCUGGAGUCUUCUCGUCGGGAAAUCAAACCAUUAACCCUGCUUGACAGGUUUCCACGAUUGAUUCCUCAUCAUAACGACAGUCAACAAAAUUUUAUGAAAAACUCCAAUUGCCAAAAGGUUUUUCGUCCAACGAGAUCGAAUUGAAACACCUCGCUGAAAUCUGGUUUACUUUUAUAACCGAUUGCUAAGACAGAUCGUUGAUUUCGGAAAUAUUAGUGCCAGUAAAAUUUUCUUCGCUUCUACCUUUUAUUUGCAAGGGAAAUGCUACGUUUUUUUUAUAUAAUUUUUUAUUUAACCCAAAGCCUCGCUGGAUCAAAACAUGUGGCAUGAUAGCAGCCUCCUGCUGUUAUAUUCUUAUUUUUGUCUCGUUAUCGGGGGUGUCUGUUUUACAAGAUCAGUGUGUUGUAAAGCGAUAUUGGGGCUUCAACCGUGUUGAAUUGUUCAUUCCUCAACGAAGUAAAAAAAAAUAACAAUGAAAUUAUUAUUGAUAUGGAUGGCUUUACGUGUCCCGGUCAACGUAGUCAACCUACACAGGUGAUUAGAUUCGUGAUCGGCUCACGGUUUUUUCCGUUUCUUAGGUGUAAUAGGUAAUAGUUAUUGAUAACCGAAAAAAUUACAAACUGUUUCUGUAGUUACUGAUAUGCUGUGAUUAUCACCUGUCACCCCCUUUUAAAGCAAAUUGUGCAGUACCAAUUCUGUGAGGUACACACAGUUUUACGAUCAAAGCCUUUGUGAUGUUAUAAUUUUUUUUAUUUAUUUAAAUUUUGUUACUAGUUUCCAUAAUCAAUUUACAAAUAAAGGCGAUUUUGUCA